rnacentral:rRNA from 1 species
UAUCUCUUGAAGUGGCUGACCUAUCAACUUUCGAUGGUAAAGUCAAAGUUUACCAUGGUUACAACGGGUAACGGGGAAUCAGUGUUCGAUUCCGGAGAGGGAGCCUGAGAAACGGCUACCACAUCCACGGAAGGCAGCAGGCGCGCAAAUUACCCAAUACCGGCUCGGUGAGGUAGUGACAAUAAAUAACAAUAUGGACCCUAGUGGUUUCAUAAUUGCAAUGAGAACAUUUUAAAUACUUUAUCAAGUAUCAAUUGGAGGGCAAGUCUGGUGCCAGCAGCCGCGGUAAUUCCAGCUCCAAUAGCGUAUAUUAAAGUUGUUGCAGUUAAAAAGCUCGUAGUUGAAAUUGGGGAACGUGAACUAUUUUUUGGUCAUUGAUCAAAAACUGUUUGCUCCUUCAUCGUCGUGUAUAUCGGUUGAGUUCUUAAUUGAAUUUGAUUGAUAACCGACAAGUUUACUUUGAAAAAAUUAGAGUGCUUAAAGCAAGCUUAUGCUUGUAUAUUGUUGCAUGGAAUAAUGAAAUAAGACUUCGGUUUUAUUUUGUUGGUUUUCGGAACUGAAGUAAUGAUUAAAAGAGACUGCCGGGGGCAUAUGUAUGCUGGUGCUAGAGGUGAAAUUCUUAGACCAUCAGCAGACAAACUACUGCGAAAGCAUUUGCCAAGAAUGUUUUCAUUAAUCAAGAACGAAAGUCAGAGGAUCGAAGACGAUCAGAUACCGUCCUAGUUCUGACCAUAAACUAUGCCAACUGACAGUUAGCUAAGGAAAAUUAUUUCUCCUUGCUAGAAGUCACCGGGAAACCUAAGUCUAUGGGUUCCGGGGGAAGUAUGGUUGCAAAGCUGAAACUUAAAGGAAUUGACGGAAGGGCACCACCAGGAGUGGAGCCUGCGGCUUA